GUGCUCACGUCAGCAGCACAUAUUAAAAGGGAACAAUCCAGAGAAGAUUAACAUGGGUCCUGCACAAGGAUGAUGUACAAAUUUGUAAACCAUUCCAAAUUUUU
rnacentral:snRNA from 1 species